CUCCAUGUGCUCAUUUCUAUAGGAUUGAGUCCAUAUAUGAAUCUUUGAUCUUUAGUAUCGUUCUAGUCCAAAUUGUUGAUUUUCUGCGAAGUUUAUUGUUUCCUGUAAUGCAAAUAGAAGACUAGUACCAUAUUUUUUAUAUAACAAUUAACUUUAUGCAUACUAAGACAAGAGGGGUUGCUCUGAUGGUAAGGAACCCCCACUUCCAACCGAGAGGUUGUGAGUUNNNNNNNNNNNNNNNNNNNNNNNNNNNNNNNNNNNNNNNNNNNNNNNNNNNNNNNNNNNNNNNNNNNNNNNNNNNNNNNNNNNNNNNNNNNNNNNNNNNNNNNNNNNNNNNNNNNNNNNNNNNNNNNNNNNNNNNNNNNNNNNNNNNNNNNNNNNNNNNNNNNNNNNNNNNNNNNNNNNNNNNNNNNNNNNNNNNNNNNNNNNNNNNNNNNNNNNNNNNNNNNNNNNNNNNNNNNNNNNNNNNNNNNNNNNNNNNNNNNNNNNNNNNNNNNNNNNNNNNNNNNNNNNNNNNNNNNNNNNNNNNNNNNNNNNNNCCUUAAUCAAAGAAGUUCGAGUCUCCCCAAGAGCAAGGUGGGAAGUUCUUGGAGGGAAGGAUGCCGGGGGUUUAUUUGGAAACAGCCUCUCCACCCAAGGGUAGGGGUAAGAUCUGCGUACACACUACCCUCCCAGACCCCACUAAGUGGGAUUAUACUGGGUUGUUGUUGUUGUAACUUUAUGCAUAGUACUUUAUCUUUAUCAAUGAGAGACGACGUAUUGCAUUUUUCUCAUUCCCUAACUUGGAAUUAAGGGAAUGUCCCUAUUGUGUGAUCGACAAGGUUUAGCAGAAUGAACUUAUAAAUAAAUAAAAAAUCCGAAGCUUAAUCAAAUUAAGUUUAUUAAAAUCUGAAGUACUGACGUCCUUCAUUAAUUAGUACUGCGCUCAUCCUGAACUAUUAUUACUAGGAAUUAUUAAAAGUGGAUGAAUGCAGGCUCCAAGAAAAUAUGGACAAAUAGUUCCUAUUAAGUCGUGCUAGCCACAAGAAACCUUAGUCAAGUUUUAUUUUUGCCUUUAAAGUUGUCAAAUAUUCCCAAAAUAAGUGAUUUUUUAGGUAUUUUUACACAUUAAGAAAUUCACAUUUUAGUAUUAAUUAGUAAUGGAAUUGACCAUAUUAACCUUUACUAUCUCACAUAAGCACUCCUAACAUAUAUUCCAACAUUAUUUACUCCAUAGACAAUGUCGGGAAAAAAUAAUUAAUUCAUUCUUGAAAUUUCGAAAAAUCACUUAUUUUGAACUAAAAAAAAGGUCAAAAAAUCACUUAUUUUGGACCGGAGGGAGUAAAGCAUAGUAUCUAUCAAACAUUCAACAAAAGCAGCCAAAAAUAAUGAAGGAUGCAAUGCCAGGAAAAUUCUUAGCGCAUUCCCUCGUGUGUGUAAUAUCAUAAUAUUCAUGAACCAAGACUAAGUUGGUGUUGUUCGUAAUGGAAACAAUCGAUCUUUUGGUUGAUAGUCCAAAGUUCAAAAUUCAAAGAGAUAGUCAAGGCAAACUUCAGACAUUUUCGUAAAUUUUUUGCAUUGCCAGGCCAGGCCAAACUUCAGACACAAAAUUUUGAAGUUUGAAACUGUCGGACUAAACUUCAAACAAAAAAGUCUGAGGUCCUUGAUGGGGAUCUCUUCGUAUUCUUAGCUGACAUGGUAGUAUUUCCAACUGAAAAUUGCGGCUGCUAGAGGUUCAGCUAACACCCAAUCUUUCAUUUAUACUAAUAGUAACAAUAUUUGAGUAUUGAAUGCCCUUUUUAUAAUGCUAUGUGAGAAACACUCUAACCUCAUAGAUCCCAAAUUUAUUUUGAAAAUUUUAAUUUGUAUGGAAUUUAGUUUGAAGAUGAAAAUGUGUUUAGAUAUACGUUUUCAAAACACAUUUUCUAACUUUAUUUUGGAAAAGCAUGCUAAAACUUCUCAAGUUUUGAGAUUUUGGCCCAAAUUCAGCUCAAUAGCUGUUUUUGGGAUUAGAAAUUUGUGGUUUGAAAAAUGGCCAAAAUAUAGGCGAAAUUUAUGACCAAACACAAGUUUUGAAAAUAAAUUUCAAAUUUAUUUUGAGAAAAUGUAUGGCCAAACAGGGCUUAAAUAUUAUUUAAAUUUACUUGCUCAGAAAGUGUGCAAGUGUGUUUUUGUGCGUCUAUGCAUAUAUAUGUGGUGACAGCUACAGUUAUAGGGUCAUUUGAGAUGGUACAAGUCGAAAUAGAAGUGAAAAGGGGAAAUUAAACUACAAGAUAAAGUUCUAAUAAUCUCAAGGAAAUUCCAAAAUACAGGCACUUGUGUUUGGACAAUGAAUUCGAUAUUCAGCUUGCUCAGACCCCUGAACCAUUCUUCUAAUUUUAGUAUUGAUAUUGAUAUGAAUCCAAACAACUUCCAACUUGUAUUUCAUGAAAGUUCUGUAAGUUAUGAGAGACGGAUAUGGCAGGACGCAUAUGGCACAAGGUAGGACACCAACCUUACUCAAAGAGAGUACGACAUGGUUAUCAAGUGCAUCAAAUACAAUAAUAGCGCAGUUGCACGUGCACUUCUGCACGAGCCUUAGCUUAGAUAAUACUGUGACAAAAAGCGGGGCUGUUUCACUCCCUCGACGGGUUCCCAAUUCCUCGAGGGUAAAAGGUCUAGCUAUAGGUGGUUUCGAUACAGACCCAAACAAUAUUUUUGAACUAGGGCAAUUAUGAACAUCAAAAUUAAGCAGAGCUAAAUGAACAGGAUAUAUGGCAAGCACCACCUGCUUCUUUGUUUUUGCAGAAUCAAGUAGUAUUUUACAAAGAACUUUCUUAGGUAUUUUAUGACCAAGAAGUCCAUUGUUCAACUUCAAAACUCAAAGAUAAACAAACCCAUCUACCCUCAUCCAUUUAUAUAAGUACCAGACACGAUGCAACAGCCAUAUCAUGAGAUGUUAAAUUAGAAGUUUACUUACUCAAUGAUCUUUAAACACUCGUAAGGAUUGUGGACUAUAAAUUCCAGGGGACAGCAUCAAUGGCACAAAACUAACCUCUCCCGAAUUAAGCCACUAUGCAGCACCCAAAGUGCUUUCAGUACCGUAGAUAUUGUUAGAAAAUCAGACACUGACUUAGCCAAUACAAACGAAAUAUCAAUUCCGAAAUCAGGCACUAAUGAGCCAAACUUCAGUUAGUAAGCCUUGAAAACACAUGAAUGAUGUAACAACCACUUCAAAUGCAAGACAUAGAAGGCAAUCAAUGCUAAACGACAAAAUAAUCACCCGGGAAUAUCGCACUCUGGCAGUAAAAUUGUAGAGAGAAGCUAACAUAAACACUUCCAAUACUACCAAAGCAUAGGCUAACAUUCAUGUUUGACCCAAUGGAAAUAAUCUAAGUUCCAACCUUCCCUAAAACAACAAUAUCAUACAACCCUGCAACUCCAAGUUAACUCCAUCACAUUCAUGGCACUGAACUCUAUUUCCAUCAUUGCCAAUAAGUGCACCAUGGGAACACCAAACGAGCUAACAUCUGGAGGAGCAUAGAUCAUCUUCCUUUUCUGGUAAUAUUAUGGUUUAUUUUCCUAGCUAUCCUUGAAUUUCUAUAAUCCACAAUUGAAAAAGGUCCAGGAGCUUAGUUGCCUACCAUCCAAACUACACUUCGCAGGUCACAAAUUUCAUUUAGUUAUCGGUCUCAGGUCGAACUUGAUCUGGACUUCACUGAAAGUUCAGGUCAAAAUUAAAAAAAUUUCUCUGUUUUGCAUCUUUUUCAAUAGGUAACUGCAUCUGAUAAUGAUCCCAACGAAUCCGCCAGUCCACUAAUCAUAGCACUUCAAACAAGACAAUCUUCCCUAAGUAGAUACCUUAAAUAUCUUUAAUUGAAAUCUUCAAAUUAUAUAAACACAAACAAAUACCAUAUAUAAUUAUUUCAUUUUGAUAACGAUCUAUAAUUCUAUUCAAACAUUUCUUGUUUCAGUUUUAUAAUAUAUAUGUGUAUGCAGAAUAUUCAAAACAAAUAGCUAGCAGGCCAAGAGCCAAUACUCCACAUCAACACACUCAAAAUCAGAUAUAAAAAUCAACGACGUAAAUAAAAUAGAGCAAAAAAUCAACACGAAUAAUAAGUAGCACAAUUUUAUAACAAAAAAAAAACGGAUAUGAGAAUCUCAAUUCAGUGCCAUUAGGACAAAAACACUACUCAAAUGUCGCUGAAAUUUUAAACUGGAACUUAAAGCAUAAACCUAAAGAUGGGGCUCGGUUCGAUUAGGGCAAAAUACGGUUUUACUUGGAUCGCUGCCUCAUCUUUCGGCGCUUCCUCUUCAAUCUCCUCAUACGCUUCUUCUUCCACUGAAAACGAAAACAAAAAAUAAUUAACAACAUUGAGGAUUAAAAAUUUACUGAAAAUUGAAAAUGAUAUGCCACAGAAUUCAUAUACCUUAGCUCUCAUUCUGAAUUGGUGAUGAUCGAAGAGUUCUUUUUACUUAUCAGAGCGAAUCUAUAAAUGGAAGAAGAAAUGCGGCAGUGAUGGGAGGAACUGAAGUUAGGGCUUUGGACAGUUUAUAUAGGAAAGCCUAGAGUUUUGUGAUUGGUGGAUUAUGACAGAUGGGCCGAAGGUAAUUUGACUUGGGUCCAGUUAUCAGGCCCAAAUUAGAAUUUUUAUUGUGGUUUUGAAUAAGUCCAAAUCUCCGGCCCAAAGAACUUAAAUGAUUAUCUUUAUAUAUAUAUUUACACUAUAUUAAAAGCACGAAGACCCUUAACGAAAUAUCGUUCGCUUUUUUUACCCCUUCAAAAUAAACUUUACCCUAGCUAAAAUAGUCAUUUUAAAUUGUUUUCCUAAUAAAUAGGAGUUUGAAAUUAACUAGAUUUUUAAUUAUUAAAUCUUUCCUUAUUUGAAUUAUGUAAAAUAUUAUAACAUUAAAUUUAAUUGUGCAUUUCACAACAUUCGGCAAUAUUUUAGUUGUCCUACACACACACCUACUCUUUUCUGCUUCUUUUUUUUUUUUUUUUUUUUUUUUUUUUUUCCUUCUAUAUCCUUAGGAAUUAGAAUAUUCUAUUAAUUAAAUAAUAUUAUAUUUGUUAAAUUUGUUAACAAUCAAUUUUACAAACAAUUUUAACUUUUUCAACUAAAUCAGGGCACCAACUGAAAUUCUAAACUUUUCGUACAGAGAAAGCACCAACUCAUCAACAUAAAUAGAAUAUUCUAUUAAAUAUAUAAUUUUAUAUUUGAUAAAUUUGUUAACAAUCAAUUUUACAAACAAUUUUAACUUUUCCAACUGAAUCAGGGCACCAACUGAAAUUCUAACUUCUCGUACAGAGAAAGCCCCAACUCAUCAACAUAAAUAAUUGAAGGCUUUUGACAUAAGAGAGAUUUGUGAGAAGAAUACUAAUCAACCUAUCUAGAGAAGAUGGUGAAAAAAUAACUAUUUAAAAAAGAUAAAAUAAGAAAUUUAGUCACUAUUUCCGUAAUUACUAUUAUACAAAGUAAGAAGAUUAUAAUAAUUAGUUGAUAGUCUAAAUGUCCAUGAAUAUUUAAAAGAUCAUUUUACUCUUCAAUUGAAUAUUUCUACAAUAUUUUUGUAUUACAAAAAUAAUUUUACAUUCCAAUAAAUAGUACUAUUAGAUAUAAUCAUAGAGUAAAUAACUGAUCCUACAAUUUUUAUGCCAAUAUUUAAAAGGGAACAUAGUACUAUUAGAUAUAAUCAUAGAGUAAAUAACUUAUCCUACAACUUUUAUGAUAAUAUAUAAAAGGGAACAUUAAAAAAAGUGCAUAAAUAAAUAUCAUUUUGAUUAAUAAAUAUGAAAGCAAUAACGAUAAUAUAUUGAGGUAACAUGGAGGCAUGGAUUUAGAUUUUAAAGAGCAAUUAGGACGUUCUUUUUUCUUUGAACAUGCUCAAAUACUUUGUCCACUUUUAUUGUUUAAAUAUUGAAAAAUAAUAUAAUUAUAGUCUUUUUUAAAUGUAAAAUCAAUUAUAAACAAUAAAAGAUUGAUUAAUAUUUCGUACAAAGGAAAAAGAAUAUGAAUUUAACGCAUAUAUGUAAUUGUCUCGAGUAAAAGAAGUACUUCAGAAUGAAUUCAUGAAUAGUAUAAAAUAAUAAUCGAACUAAUACUUUACAAAAACUAUUAAUAAUAAUUGAGUUUGGAUGUCUAUAUGAUUACAAACGUAUGGAUAGAAUAGAGUGGAUCAAACUCCUAAUGAUUAAUAUCUAUCACUUUAAAACAUGCAAAUUUUUAUUAAUUUUUAUAUUAUAAUGUUAAUACAUUUUUUGAAUUUUUGUAUAUUAUAUUUAAAAAUUUAUUUUUAUUGUUAAUUUUAUAUUAUAAUAUUAAUACAUCUUUUGAAUUUUUGUACAUUAUAUUUAAAAUUUUAUUUUUAUUAACACGAAGAACACGCGCAACGCGCGUACGGUAAGACUACUAUAUAUAUAUGUUACGAGCUUAAUUUAGAGUGUGUGGGUAGAGAGGGAGCAUUAUAAACCGUAUCCGAAAUUGAUUAAUGAUUGCCUUGUACCAGAUAAAAGGAGAAGAGCAAGAAAAGCAAUUGUAUCUAUGAAUAUUUGUAUUACUGUAUACAGCAUUAGAAGAAAAAAGAAAAGGAAAUGAAGGAGAAAAAAGGGAGUUGAAGUUAUUUAAAAAGUGAGUAUAAGUUAAAAAAAUUUAAAAAAAUAGGUAUAGGUUAGGGCGUCCAGUACAAUUUUUACGCUCAUAUUCACUUAAUACUUUUUUUAGUUGACAUACAUAAAUUAUAUUAGUAAAUGAUGGCACAUGCUAAGCAUGGACCCAAACACUAUACUGGAUAUUGAGAAUUUUUUCUAAAUUCUUAUAUAAAUAGUCGAUUGAAUUCACAAUUUACUUUUUAGUUGAUAUAAAUAGAUUAUACAUCGAUUAUAUAUAUAUNNNNNNNNNNNNNNNNNNNNNNNNNNNNNNNNNNNNNNNNNNNNNNNNNNNNNNNNNNNNNNNNNNNNNNNNNNNNNNNNNNNNNNNNNNNNNNNNNNNNNNNNNNNNNNNNNNNNNNNNNNNNNNNNNNNNNNNNNNNNNNNNNNNNNUAUAUAUAUAUAUCAGUUAUUUUUAGUUUAAUCUAUUGGGUGGGCCAUUAGAAUCAAAUUUUGAUAAUUUAAAUAGCAAAAAAUUAGAGAGUAAUCAUGAAAUACUAAAAAUUUCAAUGUUAUACAAAAUCAUAAAAAUAAUAUUGAAUAGUUGAAAAGGUGCACGGCUCAUCCUUAUUUAUUUUUAUUUAUAUGGUACUUUAAACUUUCAGUUUAAUUUUGUUCUUUCUGUUAUAAUUUUAUUCUUUUCUGUUUAAGUAUAUUUACAAGCUCUAAUGCAUGAUUAUAAUAGUAGAAUUAAACCAUCCAGUGUACCUUAGAAUUAUGGAAUAUAAUUCUCUUUUAUUUAGUUUGUAAAUGCACAAUAAAAAUUUCUUUCUUUUAAUGUAGUUAGUAUUUAGAAUGUAAUUUUUGGAAUUUUCUUGAACUCUAACAUGACAGCUAGCAUAUGCAUGAUAAUUUUCUUUUUAAUUAAAGAUCAAUUAUUAGAUAACCCACUAUUAGUAAUAACAGAUAUUUAGCAUGAAAGAAUAAAUAUUAUAUGCUACAAUUAUUGUGGUAUUAUGAAAUAAACUAUGUUAUUUUGAAAUAAAAAUAAAAUGAGUUUUUGCUUUUGGAUUAUUACGGUUAAUCGUAACUUUACAUUGAAUUGUUAAAGUUAUGUUAAACAAUGAAAAUCAGCUUGCAACUUUGAGUUCCUUUAAAAAAUUGAGUCUUCUCCAUUUUAAUAUGCAUAGAUAGAUUUAGUCUUUAGUUUUUAUGUAGAUUGAUUUGAUAGAUUUAGUCUUUAGUUUUUAUGUAGAUUGAUUUUUUUUUGGUCAAAGGAAAAAUUUGUAUUCAACCAAUGUCAAUGUACAUCAAUUGUUCUUUUGGGACUAUAGAACAACUCUCAAAAAUUAUUCAAUUAUCUACUCUACAACUAUUGUUGUUUAACUACAAACCUAAUGUGAAUCUAGUCUGGAUGUCUCGCAAUUAUCUACUCUACAACUAUUGUUGUUUAACUACAAACCUAAUGUGAAUCUAGUCAGGAUUACAUUGGGUAGUAGUUCAUGUUUUGUAGGAUGUUCUGCCGCUUUGGCUUCUUCAUUCCACUGAUAUGCACUUGGAUAGCAAUCUGUCGUGCUCUAUCUGCCGCAUCUUUGCUCGACUGUCGAAAUCUUCUUUCGUUCCUCUAUAUCCAAAUGUUGUAUACGAUUGCUGCAAGCACCAUUCCUAGAAUGGAUUUCCUUGGAUGCCUAUUGUUAACUCUGGCCGAGACCCACUGAACCUCUAGUUCCCACCUGGUGAUUACUCUUUUAAAUCUCAGCCACUGUAGCAAACCUUGCCACAGUCUUUGUGAGUAAGGACAAUUAAAGAAGAGGUGAUCAUGUGUCUCUACAAGGUCUCUCACGCACAGUGUACAUGCUUGAUCAGUGUGAAUACCCCACCUUUCUAAUCUAUCAAUUGUUGCCAAUCGUUUGUGUAACGCCAAUCAUAAAAUGAAUUUCUGUUUAGGCAGCACCCCAGAUACCAUUACUAAAUUCUUCCAGUUGACUUUGGCAUAUUGUGGAGUAGAGUGUAAGUAUGCCUUCAUGAUGUUGUAACUCCCAUUGCGGCAGCAUGAAUGCAGUGAUAUGUUUUCAUUAUUCCACCAAUCCCUUGCUCCAAAAAUCUUUCUCACCAGUCAGCUUGCUUGUUUUGGUACUUCUAUGGUAUCAAUGUCUUUUUUCUUUAUAUAGUGGCAGUGAAUCCAUUUUAUCCAGAGUUUAUCUUUCUUGAACAUUAGAGCCCAUAACAGCUUAGAUAAGGCUGCUUUGUUCCACCGUUCAUAGCAGAUAAUGUUUAAUCCUCCAACUGCCUCUGGUUUGCAAACUGUUUCCCAUGCAAUUGGAGCUCUAUGACUUGUCUCAUGAGUUCAUGUCUACAAGUAGUUUCUGCAUAUUCCUUCCACUAGUUUGAUGACCUUUUUUGGAAUGAGAAAUACCUAUGCCCAGUAAGUCUUUGUCCACAAGUAGUUUCUGCAUAUUCCUUCCACUAGUUUGAUGACCUUUUUUAGAAGGAGAAAUACCUGUGCCCGGUAAGUCUGCAUUUCAAAGAGGAUACUUUUUAUCAGCUGAAUUCUACCAGCAUAGGAUAAGAUCUUAGCAGACCAGCAUCUGACUCUGUCUACUAUUUUUUUGACUAAAGGUAAGCGCUGUGUGAUUGUAGUCCUCUUUGUUGAUAAGGGAACCCCCAAAUAUUUGAAAGGGAAUGUCCCCUCUGUCAAUUGAAAUUGAGACAGUAGCUUCUCUUUGGCUUCAUUUGAGACACCUGCUAUGUAUAUGGAGCUUUUCUCCAAGUUAGCUUGUAGUCCAGACAUUUGAGAGAAGGUAUCAAAUUCUUUAAGCAGAAGCUUCAUUGAGGUUUCAUCCCCUCUACAACACAGUAACAAAUCAUCUGCAAAGCAUAUGUAACUGAUUUGUAGUUUGGAACACUUGGGGUGGAAGUUGAAAUAUGGAUUCCUGUGAAGCUUUUUCAGGGAUUUGUUAAGGUAUUCAAUUACUAAGACAAACAGGUAGGGAGACAUUGGGUCUCCCUGCCUUAAUCCCUUUCUUGCUGCAAAUUACCUGGUGAGUCCUCCAUUGAUUAGCAGUGAGUAUCUUGCUGUGGAUACUCACUCCAUGAUUAGAGUGACCAUUUUGAAGGGAACGCCAAACUCUAGUAGCACUGCCCUCAGAAAUCCCCAUUCCACAGAGUCAUAGGCCUAUGACCAUUUUGAAGGGAACACCAAAUUCUAGCAGUAGUGCCCUUAGAACCCAUUCCACAGAGUCAUAGGCCUUCCUGAUAUCCACUUUGAUCAUGCAUCUUGGGGAGACUGUCUUCUGGGUGUAGGCUUUUAUCAGUUCAUGAGCCAUAAUAACAUUGUCUAAGAUAUUUCUCCCCUCAAUGAAUGUUGUCGAUGCCUUCAGUUCAUGAGCCAUAAUAACAUUGUCUAAGAUAUUUCUCCCCUCAAUGAAUGCGGACUGUGUCUGCCCCACCAAACAGUCCACAACCAGUUUGAGUCUGCUAGUAAGGAGCUUUGCAAUGACUUUGUAUAAUGUUGAGCAAUAAGCAAUGGGCCUGAAGUCCUUGACAUAGUUUGGAUGCUUGACUUUUGGAAUCAAUGUGACAGUUGUACAACUAAUCACUUUCAGAAUUUUUUCAGUUUGAAAGAAUUGUUGUACUGCCUCUAUGACCUCCUCCCCUACAAUUGGCCAGAAUGUCUAAAAGAAUUCAGCAGGGUAUCCAUCAAGUCCUGGAGCCUUAUCAUUGGGAAGGUGCUGCACUAUUUGGAUGAUUUCUUUCCUUGUUACUGGGGUUAACAUUUGCUGUUGCUGGUCCAGUGAGAGACAGGGUCCAUCCAUUGCCACAUUCAUGUCUAUUCCUAGAAGUUGCUCAGCUGCUGUGCCUAGUAGCUGGUGGAAGAAGUGAAUGAAUUCAUGUUGGAUCUGCUGUGGGUCAGUAAUCCCCCUCUGAUUGUCAUUGAGGAUGUUGCUUACCCCGUUUCUUGCUUGUCUGGAUUUCAUGUAUGCAUGGAAGUAUUUUGUGUUGCUGUCUCCCAGUUGAAUCUAGUUUGCUUUAGACUUCUGUCUCAGUAUUUGUUCUUGAAUAGUUUCCUACUUUUCAAUGUUCUCUAUGAGUUUCUUUUCUUCUGCAAUCAAUGUGUUAUUGAAGUGGUCUUCAUUCAACUUUCCUUGGAUUACCUUAAGAUCUUCUCUCAUCUGUAGCAACUUCUUGUGUACAGAUGAGUGCUCCUGGUGAAUGAUUCUAGUCUCCUGCUCAAGUCUCUUCAGUUUACUCCAGACAUAAUACAUAGUGUAGCCUUUAACUUGUUGGCUCCAGAUUCUGUGAACUGCUUCUUUGUACUGGUUUGGUUGCAUAACUGUUGUCAGUACCUAUAAGGUUUAGUCACUUUAGCUUUGAUUAUCUCAGUAUCUAUCAAAAUAGGGGUGUUAUCUGAACAUCCAUGAAGCAUGUAUACUGCUUCCACCCCUGUGUAAGAUUUGAACCAUUCAGCAUUGCCAAAAGCCCAGUCUAUGUGGCAAUAGACUCUGGUUUCAGCAUCUCUUUUGUUGUUCCAUGAGAAUUUCUGCCCUCUUUUGGUAAUCUGUCCCACUCCAAUGUCAUCAAUACAGCUCUGAAACUCAGCUGUCUCUGAGAGGUGUACUUGAUGAUCAUUUAUCCUACCAUCCACUCCUAGCAGGUUGUUGAAGUCCCCCAGUAUAAGCCAGGGGCCACUAGGUUGGAUAUUCCUCAAGGCCCUCCAUAGUGGCAUUCUGUGUUGAGUUGUAUGUAAGCCAUGACAAAGGUAAUAUAACUAGCAAACUUUAAGUUGCUAUAUGUCACCCGUCAGUGCAUCAGUUGAGCAGUGCUUUCCAUAAUUACUACCUGUACAUUGGCUUUUUUCCACAUUAUCCAAAUCCUUCCAUUAGGGGCAUGAGCAUAGUUGCUUUCUAUUGUCCACUCAACCCCUAUCUUUUUAUAGAUUGCCAUUGAAUUAUGCUGUUUCACUCUAGUCUCUAGGCAAGCUAGUAAAUCUCAACCCCUAUCUUUUUAUAGAUUGCCAUUGAGUUAUGUUGUUUCACUCUAGUUUCUAGGCAAGCUAGUAAGUCUACUUUAUUAGUCCUUAGGAACUUGAUUAAUUCUCUUUGUUUGUAGGACUUGUUCAGUCCUCUGAUAUUCCAGGAUACAAUAAUCAUGAUGAGUUAGUGGAAGUAGUGCCUCCUGGAUCAGUCAGACCUGGUUCUAGGCUACAUUCUCCCCUCUGUUGAUUCCCAUCAGACACUUCCUGUAUAGUUAGAGCUUCAAAUGUGUUCCUCCUGGCUAAUUCAGCAUAGCUUGUUACUUUAUCUGGUUCUCUGUCUGCUGGAUUUUGAAUAAUGGCUAUCUGCUUACCUUUGUUAGUUAUUUGAAUGUCUACUGCAGUUUGCUCUGUUGGUUGUUCAGUUUGUUGCUCAUCCAAAUUCUCCUUGGUUACAUCUUUAGGUUGCCAUUGCAUUCUAGUUUUCCUCUUUCUCCUCUUUUUCAGCUUCCAAAUUAAAAUAUUGUGGUAUGUUUGCUUUGAAUGUUGUAUUCCAAAUUAGAUAUUGUGAUAUGUUUGAUUAUGAAUAUUGUAUUCUUUAUUAUAAUAUUAUGGUAUGUUGGUAUGAAUGUUAUAUUCUUUAUGGAGUUGCAUUCGAGGCAAAAAUUUGGUUUCUAUUCAUAUUCCACAUUUUGAAGCCAGUUCUUUCCAUCUGGUAUCCCAAUGUGGACAUGUUCAGGCAGAGGCUGAGUAGUAUCAACUUCCAUAAGGACUCUAGCAUAAGAUAUUCUUUCACAGCAGUAAGUUUAUCAGUGCAUAUAGGCUUACCAAUUAGGCUAGCAACUCUGCCUAAAUUCUCUUCGGCCCAGCAUUGGAUAGGAAGCCCAGGGAAGCUGGCCCAGAUUGGGACGAUUCUCAUUGACUCAUUUUGAAUCUGAAAAUCAGGAUCCCAUUCUUUUAGAAUCAUAGGCCUACCAUUGAAGGUGUAGGGCCCUUGCUGCAGUAUGGAGUUCUUAUCCUCCUUAGAAUCAAAUUUGAAUAUAAAGUAUCCAUCAUCGCAUAGUAGCACUGUGGGUGUGGUAACUUUGUUCCAGACACCAUAGACAUAUUUUAACAUCUCUUUGAAAGUCAUCAUCCUGUAGCAGUACUGUGGGUGUGGUAAAUUUAUUCCAGACACCAUAGACAUAUUUCAACAUCUCUUUGAAUGACGGGUUGCCUCCUAAGACAUAGCCGAUUAAAGCAUUUCUCCAUUUCUGGUUCUAAUUCUCGAUCUCCUUAGGGUUCAAUUUUGCAAUUUUCACUCCGUCCUUCAGCAUCGGAGAAUAAAAUUUCAGUUGCAUGCCCUGGUGCUGAUCCUGAUUACCUUUAACUACAUCAGCCAUUGUUUGUUUCGGGGUUUCAGUUGGGUAUGUGAGUUUCCUAGCCAUUGCUGUCACAGUUGCAUCAUCCUUCGCCGGCGGUGCCUGUAUGACUGUAGGAGCACUCCCCAUAUCGGGAAACCAGUGUAAUAGGGGAAUCGGGGUUAGCUGUUGCGGUUUAUCACUUUCUGGGGUUAUCAUCCUCUCCAUAUUUACAUUGGGAAUUUUGGUAAGGUCGAUUUGUUAGGUUGUAGCGGGUUGCCGGCGGCAGGCAUCGACUUGCUUGCCGGUCGCCAGAGUUUCUCUCUCCUCUAUCUAAAAAUCCGUCCGAAGAGUAUUUAGCUCUUAUACUUUAAAUUUAACCAGACAUUCUUGUCAAAGAUAAUCAAUGUAUGUAGAUUGAUUUUAGUUGUUCCUAUGAUUCAACUGUGUAUAUUAGUAUUAUAUAAUUUAUUAGAAAAGUUGUCUCUUGCUUUAUUAUUUAAAGUAAAGGCAUAUAUAAAGUGAUUGCAUGUCCAAUCUUAAAAUAAAAAUAAAAAAGUUUGAAUUCUUGAGUAGAGUGUCUUUUCAAAUCAUGUUAUUUUAAUAUUAAUAAAUUGGCGUGUCAUUUUGUAGGUGCCCUCAUUUAUUUAGCAUAAAGAAUGAGAUGUGUACAAAAAGUCAUGGGUUAGUAAGAGAAACUCCUCCUUCUCUCUACUAAAUAUUCCACCUCAUAUACAAACCAUCCCCAACAUGGAACCAACCUCCACCAACUCCACAUCGGAACCACCAGACCUAAGCAACAUGCAUAUAGAAUCCCCACCACGUACCUCCUACGAUACCAAAUCAUCUUUCAAAGAAACACUCCCUAACCAACAACAUAUACUCAAACCACCCAGCAAUACUAUCCAACCAACAACACCUUUGGAUUUAUCCGAUGAAACAGUAAAUGAUCUCUACCACGAAUGUUUAUGCCACUCACAUCCACUAACAAAUCUUGCCUUUACUCACCCUGAAAAUCCUCAGUCAUUGUCAAGCUGUUUGGACAUCAAAUUGGACACUAAACGCUGGAAAAAAAACUCGCUGCUUUAUGGCAACCUACUGAAGACGUAUCUCCCAUAGAUCUAGGUUGUGAUUUCUUCCUAAUUAAAUUCCACCAAGAAGAAAACAUGAAUAAGGCCUUACAUGGUGGACCUUGGUUCAUCUUCAGCCAUUUUUUAUCCCUUCGUAAAUGGGAACCUAACUUCAUAGCUUCCAAUACACAACUCACCUACUCCACCAUUUGGAUUCACCUACCAGAACUGCCAACUGAAUUUUAUGAUUUUGAAAUCUUACAUCGAGUUUGGUCAAAGAUUGGAACGUUACUAAAAAUAGAUACAUGCACAUCAGUGACAACUAAAGGUUGCUAUGCACAUACAUAUAUUAAAGUUUCACUUGAACGGCCAGUGAAACCUCAUGUGUUCAUCGGAAAUCACCGGCAGUAAAUAUUAUAUGAAUGACUUUCAAUUCUAUGUACACUUUGUGCAAAACUAGAUCACAACAAAAACCUCUAUACUUACCCACAUAAUCCUACAACUCAGUCACCUACAUAAGCCACUCCCCAUAUUGCAGCCCAGGAAAGUAAUGCACAAGAAAAGACUACAAAACACACAACCACAACUUCAACUUCACAUACACCCACUACCAACGAAUGGCAAAUUGUUUCAUUCCCAGUUCGAGGAAAAAACACCAACUCAUCUAGAGGUAAAGGAGUACAUCCAACCCACCAAUACAACAAAACCUUCAAGCUCGUACAGUCAAGCCAACAGGGCCACAACAACCAAUUUGCAUGGGCCCAUCACAUGUAAGUUUUCUAACGAAUCAAUUCCCUCCUCUAUCACCCAUACUCAGAACAAUGACAUAAAUACCCCUUCAAAUUUUUUUACACAAGAUAUACUAGCUCUCAUUAAUGCAAAUAUAGAGAAAAACUCAGUACUUCCUAUGAAGGACCCUCCCACCAAUAGCACCGGCCCAAUGUUACUCCACCUUUCUCAUGCAUGCACAUGCAACACCAUAUCACCCAAACCUAGUUCGACCCCGGCAAGUAACUCCCAAUGGACUAGAAGAAAUAGAACAACUGGAUGUGGCAGCGACAAUGGCAGAUAUCAAGGAAACAAGUCCAAUUAUGUGCUUCCUCAACAACAACAAGAACUACGACCUAAAAGAACACUAUGCAAGAAAAGUGAUUAUCAUGUGCCCCAAGGAGCUUCAAAGUUGCUCACUCAACCUAUGCCCUAUGAACAACCCCGAGGUAGGAAAACACGGUCUAGUUUUGAUACCCUCACUGAGGUAGAGAUGGAUAUCGAUCGGUUCAGUUCGGUUGUGAAUAUUAUCGACUUUGCAUAUCGAUAAUCAGUUUACAAAUAUGAUAAACCGAUAACCAGACUGAUUAGAUAUGGCUUAUCGGUUAUUGACCAUUAUCGGUUCGGUAAUCGAUUUCCCGAUAAGAUAACUCAAUCUAGAGUUAUGCAAAAAAAAAAAUUCACUGGAGUAAAGCAAAAAAAGAGAAGAACUCUCAUAUAGUAUUCUACCCAUUUCUGCGUUCUGGCCACAACUAAUAUUUGAAGCAUGUGCAAUCUCAAAAAUUGAUACUACAUCUCCACAAGCAUUUCAUCUCCAAUUCACUGGAAAUAGAAGUUAACAGGAACAUAAAUAAUAAUUUUUUGGUUUCUUGGCAAACCAUAAUUAAUGAUAGGCUAUAAUUACGUAUAUUAGUCGAUUAUUACACUCUAAUUUACUGCACUUUAGUUGAGUUUGCAUUUUUAUCGCUAGUGUUUUGCACUAAUUGUGUAUUUUAUGCCUUAUAGGUGUGAUUCCUAGUUAUAUAGAAUGGAAAGCAAAGGUAUUGGACACUUUACUCUCUAGUGUUUUGCGCUAACGAUGUGUUUUAUGCCUUGCAAGAGAGAUUCUGAGCUAUAUAGAUUAUAUAGAAUGAAAUUAAGUAUUUUGGAGGUUUUAAAUUUGAGUAAUAGCUCAAGGAAUUAAGUCGAGAUCGUGUUCGGGGGUCAAAUUUGAUAGUUGAGAACAAACAAAGACUCGAUAAGGCAUAUUGUGUACUGUCUAGUAAAAUACACAUAAUGUUUUCCUCCGAAUUCCAUUUUGGCUCCGCAAUAUAUGGUUGAAAAGCUAACUCAAAUAUCUACAACUUUCAUGUUUUACAUUUUUUCACAUUCUAAAUGGAACAGGGUGAGAAAUGGCAGUUUCACCGCGACUGCGGCAGAACCGCGGUAGAAGAUGGUCGCGGACAACAGAAGAAUCAGAGGACAUGUUUGGCCGCGGUUCCACUGCGACCGCGGUACAACUGCGGCAGUAGGCGGAAAUUUCAGGGACUUAUGUGCAAAACAUGGGAUUUUAUGCCCUAAAUCCUAUAUUAAACCAAGGAAGCCGGCCAAGAAAGGAGGGGGAGGGACAUAUUUUUGACAUAGAUUUGACCUAAGGAGGGAGAGACACAAUAUGAGCAAAGCUUGGGAAUUUUUCUACAAGUUUUUUCUUUCCUCUUCCUAUUUUUCAUUGUUGGUUAUGACUUUUAGCAUUGUAGUUUUACAUACUAUUAUGAAUAGCUAAUUUAUUAUCUGGAGUUUUGAUGGAACCUUUUGUAGGAUAAAUUCUUAUUAUGUUUUUAUAUAAUUGAGCCGUAGUAUAAUCUCUAUUUGUUCAACUACAUUUUUGUUGUAGUUAAUUGAAUAGCUCUCAAUUAGUUGUGCCUAUUUAGUAUGACUUGGGAGAGAAUGCAUAUUUAGGUAAUUGUUGAACAAUACCACUCCCAAAGUAUAUGAGAGAUCAAUAACCGAGGGUUUAAAGGCGAGAUUAGAGAUAACGAAGCCUUCUAUAAAGUGAGUUGUAUUAAAAUCCAGCUAGCUUCACUCGGAAGAGUGCGUCUAGUAAAUUUUCGUAAUUACUCGGGAGAGAUUUUCGGUAAUAAGAGUGCUCAUGAUCGGUAGAGAAUACUUAGACGAAAUUGUAGAAGACAUAGCUGGAUUCCGACAAUCGGAGAAAUCAUAACUCUAGACCUCCUUAAUCUUGUCUCUAACCCUUAGUAUAUUUAGUUGUUAAUUUAUUAUUUUAAUUUGUUAAUUAGUUAGUUAAACGCAAGAAUCUCCAUAUCUAUAAGUUAGGAACUAUUUAAGCUUGUCUUCUUGGUGAUGGUGAACAUUUGUAGCUAAGCAUUAGUUCUCUGUGGGAUUCGACUCCGGACUUGUAAAUCGGAUCAUAUUUGCAACGACCACAUUGUCCUUUUUAUAAGUCAUAGUUGUGUGUGACCAAUAAUCAAGAGAUCAAUGUCUUUCUUCAGAGUCUAAUUGUAACAAGAGUAUUAGUAAUUCAACAUUUGUACAAACACAACUGAAAUAAUACUAAUUCUUAUUGGGUUAUUGGGUUAUCGGUUUACCCGUUAAGAAAUUGACAAAUCGAGGCCCGAACCGAUAACCCAGUAGUAAAAAAAUAUUAAACUGUUACCAAACCAUUUACCAAUAACCCUAUAUCGAAACUCCAAUAAGAUUUUUCGGUUUGGCAUAUUGGUUAUACCCUAUAUGCCCAGCCUUACACUGAGGGGAAAAACCACGACCCUAGUGGAGUCCUAGUAGAUUCCACCACCCUUCAACUCCCACAGUAAUCAAAUGCAGUUCAUAAUUAGGAAUUGUAUAGGAGCUCAGUCCCAUAUUUUAAGCGAAAUUUUCGAUCGUUACUAAACUACCAUCAACCUACUUUAGUGGCACUACUGGAGACCCAUGUCUAAAAUCAUUCUCACUUGAAGGAAGAAUUUGGUUUUACCAACUUAGCAGAAGUGCCAACUCAAGGACAAUCUGGAGGUAUAGCACUGAUAUGGCAAGAUGACAUUCUUAAACUAGAAUAAAUCGAAGUGAACACAAAAGCAAUGUAUUCCAUUGUCCAUGUACCACCUAACCCUAAACAAUGGUUAUUUUCAAUUAUCUAUGCCAAAAAUGAUAGACAUGCACACAACGUUUAUGGGAUCAUUAACAAUAUUGCAUGAUAAUAUUAAUACGCCUUGGUUGAUUGGGGGGAUUUUAAUAAAGUUACAAGAGCCAACAAAAAGUAUGGAAGAAAUCCCAUUAAUAAUUCAAGAUGUGAUAAUGUCAUUCGAUGCGUAGAUUAUUGUAAUUUAUAGACUUAGGUUUUAGAGGAAGUAGAUAUACCUGGACUAAUAAACAUGGUCUAGCUAAUAGAAUUCUUGAAUGCCUAGAUAGAUUUGUUGGCAACUAUGAAUGACUCAUAUUAUUUCCUGAAGCUAACGUACAACACCUUCCUAUAACACAUUCAGAUCACUGCCCUCUACUACUUAAUUUAAAGCAUAAAUAUAGUCGUAAAAAAAUAUUCCGUUUUGAAAUAAUUUUGACAUAUCACCCUUCAUUCUCUACACUUCUUACGAAUAAUUGGACUUACAAUAAAUAUCUCUUAACUGCUAUAGAAUAUUUUACUGAAGAGGUUCAACAGUGGAACCAACACACUUUUGGGGGCCUUUUUAAAAAACAAAUAACUAUCCUAGCACUACUGAGUGGGGUACAAUCUUCUCUUUCGUACCAUACCAGCCAUUUCCUUCACCAACUAGAACAAGACCUAAUAACUGAGUUUAAUCACUUAUUAAGAUUAAAGGAGGAUUUUUGGCGACUAAAAUCAAGGAUAAAUUGGCUACAACAGGAGAUGUCAAUACUAAGUUUUUUCACUUGAUUACCCUUAAACUGAGGAGAAGGAAUAGAAUCACUGCUCUCAAAGACUUAGGUGGAAAUUGGGUUAUGGAGAAAUCGUUAGUUGACUCCUUAAUUAAUUACUACAACUCACUAUUCCCUACCACGCACAUACAAUCCGCUAUUAAACUAUCAAACCACAAUAGUAACACUCUUACAAAUACUGACCAAUUAUAUUUGUCGAGACCUUUAUCCAUAAAAGAAAUGUAUCAAACCAUCCAUUCCUUCAAACCUCUCAAAACACCAGGCCCAUAUGGAUUACAUCCUUAUUUUUACUAAAAAUAUUGGCCUCAAAUCUCUCCAUCUGUCGUGUCCUUUUGUAAUGAGGUCUUUAAUUCAGAUAAAUUACUAAUUCAUGUGAAUCCCACAUACCUUUGUCUAAUUCCAAAAUUCAAAAACCCUUCCAUGAUUACGCAAUAUUCCCAAUUGGGCUAUGCAACACUAUCUACAAAAUUAUAAACAAGCCAAUUGUAUGGCGCAUAAAGCCUGUUAUUAAUAAACAAUAAUACUGAACAAUCUACUUUCCCCAAAGGGCGAAGAGCAACUGAUAACGCCAUCAUAGUUCAAGAAAUCCUUCAAAAUUUUAGGAAAAAUAAAGGGAAAAUCGCAAAUUUUCUUAUCAAACUAUACCUUGAAAAAGCCUUUGAUAAAAUGGAAUGGGGUUUUAUCAAACAAACUUUAUAUUUCUUUAAUUUCCCCCCUAAACUCAUCUCUAUAUAUGAUCAGAUGCAUAUGUAGUUAAGGGCUGCUUAGAGUUGGACACAGAAUUCCUAAUUCAAAUUGCAAUGUACAAUGAUUCGGGAAAUAAGAUUUUCCUUUUCUUAAAACAGAAAAAAAAACAUCCCCCUCUUUCUUAUUAUUAUAUCUUGUAUAACAACCACUUCUAUCUCAAUCCUUAUAAAUGGACACCCAUCCCUUUUUUCUACCCAACAAUGGGCAUUAGGCAAGGUGACCCGUUAUCCCCCUGCAUCUUCAUCUUAUGUAUAUAACGACUAUCAAGGCAAAUACACCAAUUAGUGGAUUACCAACAAUGAAAAGCUAUCAAACUAUCUCAUAACGGGCCCCUAAUAUCUCAUCUACUUUUUGCAGAUGAUAUCACCUUAACUUCUAAAAUAAAAACAUCAUCUGUGCACAUCAUCAUAGAUACCAUCUAACAAUUUUCACUCAUAAAUCUGGCCAAAGUAUUAAUUUCCAAAAAUCAAAAAUUUAUUUUUCUAAACACACUUCUCAAUCAGACAAACACUUUGUCUUAUCAUCUUUUAACAUGAGGGAGGGUACCCUCUUUAGUAAGAACUUGGGAUUUCCGUUGUUUGUAAAGAAACCUACUUCAAAUGACUUUUAGUACAUACUUGAUAACUUCAAAGCUAAAUUAUCAGGAUGGAAAUCAUAAAUUCCUUUCCACGGCAGGAAGGUCCACCAUACUAAAAUCUACUUUGAACACAGUACCAAACCAUGUAAUACAAUACAUUAAAAUACCUUCACAAAUCAUUCAGAGAGUGGACCACUACCAAAGAAACAUCCUCCGGGGCACUACUGAGCAUAAAAAAAAGAAUUCACUUGGUAAAAUAGGCAGUACUACAUAGACCUAAAACUCAAGAGGGACUAGGCAUUCAAAACUUAACUACUAAAAAUAACGUUCUAUUAGGGAAUCUUGCUUGGCGCCUGUUUAAAAAUCCUAAUUCACUCUGGGCAUUCAUACUACUCAACAAUUAUGCGCAUAAAAAAAUAGAGCUCGGGCUUCCUCCACCUGAAAAAAUAUUUUAUCAGGAUAGAAUCUAUGCCAAUUAGGAUUAGUAUGGCAUAUAGCAUGGGCACACAUAUAAAUAUGUGAUAUGACCAUGGAUAGGACCUAAUACUACUCUUAGACAAUUAAUCCAUGGACCACAAAACUCUCACGAAACAAACCGAACACUUAAGACACUAUAUCUCUAAUAAUGCAAUUGCACAACCUCCUUAUUCUUUAAAUUAACGGACAACAUUAUUUCUCAAAUAAAAAUAUCUUCAUACCUAGGUUAACAACCCCAUGCCUUCAAUACAACUAUUUGAGGCCUCACUCCAAAUGGUCAGUAAACUGUAAAAUCUCUAUACAAUGCCCUACAAGAACCAACAUCACCCUACAAUUACCGCUGGAUAUGGAAACCAAUUCUACCGCCAAAAAUAAAUCGCUUUCUUUGGUUAGCACCACAUCAAUGCUUAACAACCGCCUCGUACCUAUAUCAUAUAACGGUUACUCUAUCCAAUACUUGUACUCUAUGAUAUCAAUCCAUUGAAACCAUUAAUCAUCUCCUAUUCAAUUACCCGUGCACAAACACCAUAUGGUCUCAACUAAGGAUUGCCCAUAUCCUCCAAAAUUGCAACACGCACAUCUUACCACCAAUUCAAAUCAUCCAAUACCUAAUUAAAGAUACUAAAGAUAUGCCUUAUAACCUGCCAUCAACCGCUUUUAUUCCACGCAUAGUUUGGCAAAUUUGGAAGUUAAGAAACCACUAUAUAUUCAAUCGCCAAAGAACUAAACCACUCCCCUCGACCCAACAAAUGCUCUAUCCAGACAACGAAAUAUUAUUACCUUACCAAUCAUAACAAAAAAAACACAAACAUCUACACAUACAGGUACUCCAAUGUAUAUCAAAUGGCACCCCCAGCUGUGGGCACAAUUAAGCUUAACAUUGAUGGAGCAACCAAGGCAAACACUUCUACCAAUUGUAUUGGGGGAAUAUUCCGUAAUACAGCGGGACAUUGUUUAAUGGGGUUCAUGGGUGCAGCUUCCAUAGGAAAUUCCACAUGCAUGGAAUUAAAAACCUUACUAUGCAGCUUCCAACUGGCAAGGCAACAUCAACUCACACCACUAGAAGUAAAUAUGGAUUCUAUUGAGGUAAUAAUGAUGCUCAAUAAUGAUAAUCUUCACCACUCAUCAUCCUAAUGCAAUGCAUGUACUUACUUCAGCAGCUGGGUAAUCCUACCAUUACCACAUAUACAGGGAGCAAAACUAUGUAGCACAUUAUCUCGCUCAACAACGUUCGUCUAACCAUGCCAAGGAUUGCACAACUAUCUUCACUCACCCACCGAAUUUUUUGUUACCAAAACUACUAGCUGAUCAACAAGGCACUGCCUACCCGCGCUUAGUCAAAUCCACCAGUACGAUGGACUUGUUCUACAGCCACCCCAUGUUGGCACAUGAUCAACUAGUUGGUCACCAUUUUGAUAACUCCUUUUGUAAUACUGUGCAACUAGCUCAAUGUUACUAUUUAAAUUAAUAUAAGUUCCUUUUGACGACAAAAAAUGGCUGAGAUGUUUAGUGUUCUUUAUUUUUAUCAUACAAAUUAUCUCAUAUUUGUUGAAGUAGGUGGCAUGCAGCAUUAGAGAAUGGGCAAUAUAUCGAAAAUAUUUGCAUGCAUUUUGAGAAAGAAAAUAUGUGCCUCGAGAAGAUUGAAGAGAUAAUUUCAAGGUCUCUGUAAGCAACCCCCACUUCCAACCGAGAGGUUGUGAGUUCAAGUCUCCCCA
rnacentral:lncRNA from 1 species